UGCCCAGACUCCUACGGGAGGCAGCAGUGGGGAAUAUUGCGCAAUGGGGGCAACCCUGACGCAGCAACGCCGCGUGAUUGAAGAAGGCCUUCGGGUUGUAAAGAUCUUUAAUCAGGGACGAAAAAUGACGGUACCUGAAGAAUAAGCUCCGGCUAACUACGUGCCAGCAGCCGCGGUAAUACGUAGGGAGCAAGCGUUAUCCGGAUUUACUGGGUGUAAAGGGCGUGUAGGCGGGCCUGUAAGUCAGAAGUGAAAUCUGGGGGCUUAACCCCCAAACUGCUUUUGAAACUGCGGGUCUUGAGUGCUGGAGAGGCAAUCGGAAUUCCGUGUGUAGCGGUGAAAUGCGUAGAUAUACGGAGGAACACCAGUGGCGAAGGCGGAUUGCUGGACAGUAACUGACGCUGAGGUUCGAAAGCGUGGGUAGCAAACAGGAUUAGAUACCCUAGUAA
rnacentral:rRNA from 1 species